rnacentral:lncRNA from 1 species
CUUUCUUAACCGAUGUCCUUCUCUUUCCCUUUUUUUGGUCUGUGUGAAUAAUCCACAUUUAGGCCAGCAAGGAUACGUUUGAGAAUACUGCAUUUAUGUUGCAGUUUUUAAGGUAUAAGGGACUUCAUCCGGCAUGAGGACCACUUACAUUUUCUAAUGUUGUCUUUCUACCUUUCCAACUGGAUUGCUAGCUUCCUGGCUCUCGUGUAUUUUAUAAAGCUCUUAUUUUCUGUAGUGCAGCUCAUUUCAAAAGGUAAUAUUCACUUGUGGCUCAAGGCCUAGCAAAAGGAAACCCAUCCUCUCCUGCCCUUCUUUCCCUCUGGUUUCCAGCCUCUGGGAGGAACAGACUCCUCCCUGCAGGAUGAGUGCCCGCAGCUCAGACCACAGCUGGCCUCUGGCAGAGGUGUGCCAACAAAGGAAGAAAACAAAAGCCAAGCUGCAUUCAUUUCAAGCUCCAUUAGGGGCAUGCAUUGGGGUGAGGAAAUCAGUGGGGAAGAUGAAACUGGCAGGAAAAGAACUUCUUUUUCUCAGUCUCUACAAUGGAAUUCACCACAAAUAAUGGUAGGGCAGAAAUCACUAAGCAACACCCAUUUUAAAAAUAGAUAAAUGUAAAAAUCACAUCCAAUAAACAUUUUUGGGGUCAUUUCCAAAACAUAGCUAAAAAAAAAAAAAAGAUAACUGCCACUUUGUUCUUUUCUUCUUUACAUGGCAAAAUACCAGCCAGGACCCAGGAUUACGGUACCCAGCCAGCCUUUGUGAACAUCAGGUGCUUUGCAUGAGUUCCAUGUUUUCCACGAACGUUUUGAAGUCCCCUCACACUUGUGAUCUCUGCCUGGCUCCAGAGGCAUCUGGGAAAUGGAACAGCAUAAAACCCACAUAUGUACUUCAUUAAGGAUGGACCAGAACCUUCUCAUAUAACAGAUCUAAAAUAAAUGGGGAUAAAUCCCAUACACUGUUCACAACAUGGUAAAUUGGAACAACUUCUCUUGAGGGCAAUUUGGUGAUAUAAUAGAAGCCUUGUUAUAUGGGGUUCCCAUUAUGUAGGGUGAUUUGAUAGUAAGAAUGGAAUAUACAGACCCACCAGAAGGAGGCUGGCUUCUCCUGCACAUAGGCAUGCCCUGGAAAGAGAAGCAUGCUUUACCACUGGGAGGAAGGGAGAGCUCUCGCCAAUCUAACAAGUCCUUUAUUUGGAGAUCAAUUAAAAAGAUUUCAUAAAGUAACAAGUCUUUAAAAAGAGCAUUGUCUUCCAACUCAACAAUGCCACUCAUCUCUAGGAAUUCUUUCCCAAGAAAAUAUAUAAAUGAGUGUGGAAAUGUUUAGAUACAAGGAUGUGCAUAACAGCAUCACUUGUAGAAAUAAAAACUGGAAAAAAAUCUCAUGUUCAGUAGUAGGGCUUGGUGAAUAAAUCAUGACAGUGAUUCAAUGGAAUACUAUGCAGCCAUUAACAACGAUAUACAGACGACUGUUAUGGAUAUAGAAAGUCAUUUGCAUUUUAGAAAUUUGAAGAUUAUCAAACAGCACAAUUCCACCUUUGUGAACAUAAAUAUGCACAUAUUUAAUGUGGUGGGCAGCCUCUAAGAUGGUGCCCAAUGACAUCUCUCUCCUGGUAUUCACAGCUUUAUGUAAUCUUUUUCCCUUGAAUAAUUUGUUUCUAACUGAUAGAAUUUUGCAACAUCGAGGAAAUGUCAACUCCAUGAUGAGGUUACAGAUUUGGUGACUUCCAUCUUGCUCUGAGACUCCCUCUAUUGUCUUCUUGGCUUGCUCACUUUGAUGAAGCAGCUUCCACGUGGAAAAGGUCCUCAUGGCAAGGAAAGGAGGGUGGCUUGCCACCAACAGCCAUUGGAAAAAUGAGGUUCCAGUUCAACAACCCACAGAGGGGAACUGAAUCCUGCUCACAAUCACUGAGUGAGUUUGGAGAGGGAUCCUUCCCUAGCUGAGCAUUCAGAUGAGACUCCAGCCCAG